rnacentral:rRNA from 1 species
AUACGGAGGAUGCGAGCGUUAUCCGGAUUUAUUGGGUUUAAAGGGUGCGUAGGCGGUUUUUUAAGUCAGCGGUGAAACGCAAGGGCUCAACCCUUGACCUGCCGUUGAAACUGGAGGACUUGAAUGCGGAUGCUGUGGGAGGAAUGUGUGGUGUAGCGGUGAAAUGCAGAGAUAUCACACAGAACACCGAUUGCGAAGGCAUCUCCCAAAUCCGGGAUUGACGCUGAGGCACGAAAGUGUGGGGAUCAAACAGGAUUAGAUACCCUGGUAGUCCACACUGUAAACGAUGAUGACUCGCUGUCGGCGAUAUACAGUCGGUGGCCAAGCGAAAGCGAUAAGGCAUCCACCUGGGGAGUACGACCGCAAGGUUGAAACUCAAAGGAAUUGACGGGG